UAGAACAGAUAAAGAAGGAAGGGUGGGGUACAAGAUUGUGGUUUGCAUUUGCAAUUCUGUUCCUCCACUGGUUCUUAAGGGAGCUGAGCAAGAAUAAUUUUUAUGUUCUUCACAUUUUUGAGGAAUGCAUUAUUUAAGCAGAUGGAGAAACUGAGGCACCAAGUGGUUAAUUGUUUUUCCCAACCUUCCACAUCUAUGAAACAUCAAAUUUGAAAUUACGGUUCAUGAAUAUCGUCUGCCUUCCAGCUAUGCGCUGCGAAAAGAAAUUGCCAGUGGAUGAGAUGGCAGAAUCAGUGGAACGUGUGUGACCUUCACCACGUUUUUGAAUGAUGGCCCAUCAGAAGAUAUAAAGAGUAAAGGACUACUGGGCAAGCACAAGUGGGCAGAGGAGCAGAGGGAAAGAGAAUCCCAGUAGACUUCGCGCUGAGUGCAGAGCCCGAUGUGGGGCUCGAUCCCACAACCCUGAGAUCAUGACUUGAGCCGAAAUCCAGAGUCCAGUGCUUAACCAACUGACCACCCCGGCAUCCCUCAACUUCUACAUUAGUUUCUAAACUAAAUGAGAAGAGA